AUUGAACGCUGGCGGCAGGCCUAAAACAUGCAAGUAGAACGAGUGGCGGACGGGUGAGUAAUGGCUGGGAAACUGCCUGAUGGAGGGGGAUAAAUAAUGGAAACGGGAGCUAAUACCGCAUACCAUCGGAACGGCACAGAUGGGAUUAGCUAGUGGGUGGGGUAAAGGCUCACCUAGGCGACGAUCCCUAGCUGGUCUGAGAGGAUGACCAGCCACACUGGAACUGAGACACGGUCCAGACUCCUACGGGAGGCAGCAGUGGGGAAUAUUGCACAAUGGGCGCAAGCCUGAUGCAGCCAUGCCGCGUGUAUGAAGAAGGCCUUCGGGUUGUAAAGUACUUUCAGCAGGGAGGCGUUACCCGCAGAAGAAGCACCGGCUAACUCCGUGCCAGCAGCCGCGGUAAUUC
rnacentral:rRNA from 1 species